rnacentral:ncRNA from 2 species
AUAUAUACUUGGGGGAGCUUUUUAAAGCUGAGAGGAUAGCAUGACGGUGAGCUGUCGACCCUUAAACCUGACCUGGGUAAUGCCAGCGUAGGAAAAGUAGGAACAUCAAGA